AUGGCCCCGCAGCAAACAGGUAAUAAGAAACGGGAAGAGCCCGCGCCCCAGGAGGCUGCAGAAGGCUCGUCGUCGCCGAGCUCGUCGUCGCCAGGCUCGGCGGCGGUGCACGCAGACGGCCCGCAGCCGCCCAAGAAGCCCAAGCGGAUGGUGCUGCGGCGCUCCCUGGUGAACUACCUGAAGGGGCGCGAGGUGGGCGCGCAGGGCCGCGCCGGGCUCUCCGGCUUCGAUGGCGAGCUGUGUGGCUUCGCGGUGCGGAAGCUGCCAGAGCUGCUGCGGGAGCGCGAACUGUCCUUGGGCACCAUCGACAAGGUGUUCGCAUCGCAGUGGCUGAACGCCAGGCAGGUGGUGUGCGGUACCAAGUGCAACACGCUCUUCGUGGUGGACGUGCAGUCCAGCCACGUAACGCGCAUCCCCCUCAUGCAGGAUCGUCGGCCCCCACCGGCCCACACCCAGCCGGGCUGUGGCAUCCAUGCCAUCCACCUGAAUCCCUCCAAGACGCUGCUGGCCACCGGGGGCGAGAACCCCAACAGCCUGGCCAUAUACCGGUUGCCAACGCUGGAUCCCUUGUGCCUGGGUGACCGCCAAGGCCACAAAGACUGGAUCUUCGCCAUCGACUGGAUGAGCGACACGGUGGUGGUGAGCGGCUCCCGCGAUGGCACCUUGGGCGUCUGGAAGAUAGACCCCGACGUAUUCCGGAGCAGCAUAGCCUGGCACAGUGAUGCAGGGCUCCCCGUGUAUGCCCACAUCCAUCCCGCAGAAGUGGUGGAUGUCCCCAGGGCCGGCACCAACCCAGGUAACUGCAAGGUGCGGGCUGUGGCCUUCAGCGCCAAGAGGCAGGAGCUGGGAGCCGUGACCAUGGAUGGCUACUUCCACCUGUGGAAAGCCCAGAAUACCCUGUCCAGGCUGCUGUCCAUCAGGCUGCCUUACUGCCGAGAGAACGUGUGCCUGACCUACUGCAAUGAGUUGUCCCUGUACGCGGUGGGAUCCCAGUCCCAUGUCUCUUUCCUGGAUCUGCGCCAGGGUCACCAGAGCGUAAGGCACCUCUGCUCCCGCGAGGGCGGCACGGGUGUGCGCUCCCUGAGCUUCUAUGAGCACAUCAUCACCGUGGGCACCGGCCACGGCUCUCUGCUCUUCUAUGACAUCCGUGCGCAGAAGUUCCUGGAGGAGAAGGUCUUGGACAGCCAGCACUCCUCUCCGCGGCCCACAGGGAGGAGGUUCAGGCUGAUUUGUGGCAGAGGCUGGCUCAACCAAGAUGACCUGCAGAUGAACUACUUCGGUGCCUUCGGCGACUUGCCCAAUGCACUCUACACCCACUGCUACAACUGGCCAGAGAUGAAGCUCUUUGUCGCUGGCGGCCCUCUUCCUUCAAGCCUCCGUGGAAACUAUGCAGGCCUCUGGAGCUAA
rnacentral:lncRNA from 1 species